rnacentral:rRNA from 10 species
GGAUGCGAUCAUACCAGCACUAAAGCACCGGAUCCCAUCAGAACUCCGAAGUUAAGCGUGCUUGGGCGAGAGUAGUACUAGGAUGGGUGACCUCCUGGGAAGUCCUUGUGUUGCAUCCC